AGAGUUUGAUCCUGGCUCAGGACGAACGCUGGCGGCGUGCUUAACACAUGCAAGUCGAGCGAGAAAGGUCCUUCGGGGCUGAGUACAGCGGCGAACGGGUGAGUAACACGUGGGCAACCUGCCCCAAGGAGCGGGACAACCCGGGGAAACCCGGGCUAAUACCGCAUGAUCCGCUACGCCUGAAGGCGUUGCGGCAAAUGGUAGCUUCGGCCUCCGCCUUGGGAUGGGCCCGCGUCGCAUUAGCUUGUUGGUGGGGUAACGGCUCACCAAGGCGACGAUGCGUAGCUGGUCUGAGAGGACGAUCAGCCACACUGGGACUGAGACACGGCCCAGACCCCUACGGGAGGCAGCAGUGGGGAAUCUUGCGCAAUGGGCGAAAGCCUGACGCAGCAACGCCGCGUGGAGGAAGACGGCCUUCGGGUUGUAAACUCCUUUCAGGGGGGACGAAGCCACCGGGGUUAAUAGCCCACGGGGUGACCGUACCCCCAGAAGAAGCCCCGGCUAACUACGUGCCAGCAGCCGCGGUAAUACGUAGGGGGCAAGCGUUGUCCGGAAUCAUUGGGCGUAAAGCGCGUGUAGGCGGCUUGGUAAGUCUGGUGUGAAACCUUGGGGCUCAACCCCAAGCCUGCACUGGAUACUGCCUCGCUCGAGUUCGGGAGGGGAGAGCGGAAUCCUAGUGUANCGGUGAAAUGCGCAAAUAUAGGAAGACACCGGUGCGAAGCGCUCCUGAACGUCUGACCUAAACCAAGCGUGGGACCACAGAUAAAUCCUGGANUAGGGCAAUUCGCCAUGCG
rnacentral:rRNA from 1 species